GCUCCUAGAGGUCACCGUCGGACUCUGCGACUAAAAUGGGUUUUCCCGGCGCGUCCAGAGAGGUAAUGGAGUGCGGCUGAGGCCAGCAGGACAGCCCAGGACAGCAAGGUCAAGUCUCGGUCUACUCAGCUCAGGGCCGGCAGCCGCCCCGCCCCGACCACGCCCCCAACCCAAGCCCCUUCCGAGCUCGCCCCGCCCUGAUCACGCCCCUCACCCCGCCCCUCCGGGACCGAAAGCGAAAGCGCGCCCGGCCUCUCGGCGCUCGCUCGAUCGGGUCUGGCCGGGCUGGCGGCUGUGACGACCCGGCGCUGUGGGUCCGGAGCUGAGAACGGCAUGGAGGGUCCGGUGGCCGCCGCGGGCUGGGACGUCUCCCUUCACAACUUCAGUGCGAGGCUGUGGGAGCAGCUGGUCCACUUCCACGUCAUGCGGCUGACGGACUCGCUGUUUCUGUGGGUGGGGGCCACUCCGCACCUGCGCAACCUCGCCGUGGCCAUGUGCAGCCGUUACGUGAGUGCCUGGCGGCAGAGGGUGCGGGCUGCGGGGCGGGGGCGUGGGGGCGCGGGGACUGCGCGAGCCCCAGGCCUCUCCUGGCUCCACUGGUCGCCCGACUCCCCCGAAGCUCUCCUGCGGACUCCAUCCCCGUGUCUACCUCUCUCCUUGGAGACACUUCCGACGCGACCUCCACUGGCCUUGCCCAGCGCCUAGAAAUAAAUGUAACUGCUGCAGAUACCCAGCGAAGAAGAAUAAUAGGACGGUCCCAAGCUGAGCCAGGCCCUUUGCACGUGGUUUCUCUCCAUUCUCCACCCCCGCCUAACAAGGAAUACAUAUGACUUCUGCUGUCUGAGACGGUCAGGACAUCCGCUCCCAUCGUGGAAUUGGACAGGACCAUCAGAUCUCACAGACCCUUCGAGGAUGACAUCAGUUUCAUUUCACUACAGAAUCUCGAACCCUCUUUCAUGUAUGAAAAGUGUGUGUUCUACGCAGCUAAUUCAUAGGAUCUUCUUUUGCAACUUACCAUCCUUUUUCAAAAUAUGUUAGGUCCUAUGUGUGCUUCCCAAACAGCACAGCUCAGCAGCA